rnacentral:rRNA from 1 species
UCGGGAAUUUUGGGCAAUGGGCGAAAGCCUGACCCAGCAACGCCGCGUGAAGGAUGAAGUAUUUCGGUAUGUAAACUUCGAAAGAAUAGGAAGAAUAAAUGACGGUACUAUUUAUAAGCUCCGGCUAACUACGUGCCAGCAGCCGCGGUAAUACGAAGGGUGCAAGCGUUACUCGGAAUUACUGGGCGUAAAGCGUGCGUAGGCGGUUCGUUAAGUCCGUUGUGAAAGCCCUGGGCUCAACCUGGGAAUUGCAGUGGAUACUGGCGAGCUAGAGUACGGUAGAGNAUGGUGGAAUUCCCGGUGUAGCGGUGAAAUGCGUAGAGAUCGGGAGGAACACCCGUGGCGAAGGCGGCCAUCUGGACCAGUACUGACGCUGAGGCACGAAAGCGUGGGGAGCAAACA